UGCUACCAGGCUGCCCAGUGGUAU
rnacentral:piRNA from 1 species